rnacentral:rRNA from 1 species
UACGAGGGGGGCUAGCGUUGUUCGGAAUCACUGGGCGUAAAGGGCGCGUAGGCGGCUUUGUAAGUCGGGGGUGAAAGCCUGUGGCUCAACCACAGAAUUGCCUUCGAUACUGCAUGGCUUGAGACCGGAAGAGGUUAGUGGAACUGCGAGUGUAGAGGUGAAAUUCGUAGAUAUUCGCAAGAACACCAGUGGCGAAGGCGGCUGACUGGUCCGGUUCUGACGCUGAGGCGCGAAAGCGUGGGGAGCAAACAGG